AUGCUGCUUCUAAAAGGAGUCUCCUGUGUCUUUGUGGGCAGAUACAGGGUUGCUUGGGAUUUCGGAAGACUGGAUGUGAUCAUACCUGUUUGGAAGAAUAACAAGAAGAUUCGAGGUGCAGGAAACACGCUGAUACAUUACUGGCCCAGUUUAACUGGAAAACUGCAGAAACAUGAUCUGGGAGGGAAGACUUGUAACCGAAGUUCUCCACUGCUGGUAUUAAUAACAAAAAGCCCGACGCGUAGCCUCUCCAACUUCCAUCCGCCUCUGACAGGAUCAGGCCCUAACACGGCUUAGAGACAGAUGUUCUAGGAAGUCUCAAGUUGCUUAAUAUUAUUUGUUCACACAUCCCAGCUGAUGCUAAAUCUUGUUAGAGAGGUGUUAAAUGUCUGAAGACGACAGAGGCACUAUCCAUUCCCAGAAUGAGUCACCAGGAUGGGAGAGCUGAGUCCAACUAUUACCACCCGCCAGGGCUUCUGAGACUUCCCCCCAUGACUCCCCCUUUCUUCAUUUUAAUGGAGAUAUUAAUUCCAUUCCCAUGAAUUGGAACUUGGACACAAUCCUUGAUUUUCUUAUGACAUAUUAAUAGCAAAAUUGGAAAGGCACGGGAUUAAAAACAAAAUCUGGUGCAUAGUCAUAAAUGUAUAGAACAAAACUCUUAAUUUUUCUGAAAGGGAGAGAGAGAGUUUAUUUGCUAAUUUAAAAAAAAAAAGUCUCUGAAAAGGAUAUGACAACUCCUUGCACACAAAGAAGCGGUUCUGCGUGGAGAGCUUAAGACACUUUCCGAACUGCAUGUACCUUCCCUGAGGAAAGGGUACCGAAUUUGUUUAUUCUCCUCACUUUGCAGAUGGGGAGGCAGAAGCACAGAGGCGAAGAAACUUGUCCAUUGUCAGCUGCGGCCAGGCAUAAGGCCAAGCAGUCCUGAUUUCGAGGCUCUGCUUUAACCCAGCAAAUAGACUCUGGUUCUUCCUCCCUCCCUCUCUCCCUCGGCAGUGUCCGUAGCGGUUCUGCCACCUCACCUCCAUGCAACCUCCUUCUUGGGUCUACAGAUGUGGCCAAAAGUCCCUGUGGUGCUGUGCAUGAGGAGCAGUACACUGUAUGGCUUCCUGGUGCAGAAACUAACAGGGAAAUGCCGUUCUCCCCUGCCUCAGCCGUGCACACACAUGGUGCACAGCCCCACUGAAACCCAUUUAAUGUGUUUACUAUGCAUCAUCCAUGACUUAUAGGUUGGAUGCAGGAAAAGAAAAACAAAACAUCACUGUAAAACAAACUAUGAUUUCAGAGAGUUGCUGAAAACGAAAAGCAGGAACAGGCACCAGGGAUCUUUCAACAAAUGUAAUUUAAAGAGCUCACUUUCAGCUCUCUGGGCACUUUGACAAGCAUUUAGUGGGAUUCAAGCAACUACUGAGUAGUAACGGGCAGCUGUCUGUGCAGCAGGGCCGUGUUGGGGCGGGAGGGAGCAGGGCUGAGCCAUGGGGCCUGUGGGGACCCCGGGCCGCAGCGCAUAUGUCUGGCCGCCUGCUGUGGCUUUCAUGAGCUGGGGAAGCGAAUGCCCCCCUCAGUGACGGGUCUGAUAGCAAAGCUGCCCUCGGUGAGCCAACAGCACGCAGCUUCUAAGGCCAGGGAGGACACUGAGGGGUGGGCUGAUGGUCCAGGCAGCUAAGUGCUGGAGAAAGUGGAGUCAGGGAGGCAGAGGCUGGCUGACAGGACUUGGCAAGGGCUGAGGUUUGCCCAGAGCUGUGAGAUUGUCGGCUGCUCCUUCCUUCCAGGAAGGCUGCUCUUUUCUCCCUGAAAACUGUCAGUGAAGGUGAAAACUGUCCGACCCACAUCCUUACGUGCCAUUUCUGCAGAGCCAGUGGUUAUGCUGGGCCAGCCUUCCUUCUCUGUUUGAGCCCUCCCAGCAUCAACAGGGGAGAUCUUUCCUUUUGUAGGCUCUGCGUGGCCUGUGUUCCCACUUACCUCAAUAAAUAGCCCUUCAAAUCCA
rnacentral:lncRNA from 1 species